rnacentral:lncRNA from 12 species
CAAACUAAGGCUGGAAAGAGCUGCCUUCCGGGUCGCAGUGAGGACUGAAAACGAGGGUGAACGCGUUUAGGAAAGCCAGUUCCUGAGCAGAUGAGUCCUUCCGUUGGAAUUGACAGCGGCGCCACGUCAGAAACGCCCGGAAGUCAGGGCAGCGCCACCGCGCACGCAGGGCACGGAGGUGAAGGCGGUGGCCAGGGAAACCUGCGGAACCAGGCCGCCCGCCCUGACGCGGCUCAGGACCUCCGAGCGCCCCGCCCCUCCUCUGCCUCGCAGCGGGCGGGCCGGGGGCUGAGGCGGCAGCAGGCCUUCGCCUCCACACGCAGUCCCCGUCACGGGAGCGAGGCGGGAAGCGGCGCCCAGGCUUCGAGCUGCGCACGUUCCCACGCCGCCUACCCUCGGCCCCGCCCCCGACGCCCGCACGCGGGCUGCGCGCGGAGCAUUGUGGGCCGCACGGCCGACGGCGCCCCGCGGGAGGCCGGGGCUGACGGGCGGUGCUUCCUUCCGCGCCCCCACGCGGUUUCCGCAGCCCCGAGCAGGCUGUUACGUUUGCCCACGCCUAGGGCCUUCAGCUUGGCGAAUCUCCCGCCCAGACCGAUGCUCUGUAGCAGACGUCAGUUGGGGGGCGGGGGAGGCGGUCCUUAUUGCUCUUCCUUGUGAAGGAUUCGAGAGGCGGUGGUUGAGAGCCCCGAAUUAGGGAUCCUAAUUCGAACGUAAUGUUCGAACGCCCUGAUGUAAUGGAUGAACGUAAUGUUCGAACGCCCUGAUGUAAUGGAUGAACGUAAUGUUCGAACGCCCAGAUGUAAUGUGAUGAACGUAAUGUUCGAACGCCCAGAUGUAAUGUGAUGAACGUAAUGUUCGAACGCCCAGAUGUAAUGCGAUGAACGUAAUGUUCGAACGCCCAGAUGUGCAGUCGGCUAGCUGUGUGUCUUUGAGCAAAUCACCCGACCUCUCUGAACUCCAGUUUCCUCGUUUGUAAGAUGGCAGAGGAAACAUUUAUCUCAGUGACCCCGUGGCUACGGGUAUUGUGAGAACCACCCUGGGUUCAGAUGCCAGCUGGACUACUUGCUUGGCUUAGCUGGCCUCUCUGUGCUUCCGUUUCCUGUGAAGUAAGGGAUCGGUGAACUAGGGAAUAAUGUUCGACUCAAAGGGUCAUAAUUAUAUGCAGUAAGCCUGGAAGAGCUUUCAGUCUAACACACUAUAGGAGCCCAAACAGUUAAUUAUUUAAGGUAUCUCAAUGUCUGCCACUUUGAAACCUAGGUAAAUGUCAGCUCUAAGUCUAGGUUUUCCUGCUCCACUUUUUCUCCUCUUGAAAGAGAAACAACGCACAAAGGUGUGUGUGGCUACGUGGGGGUGAUAGUGCCUGCAGAAUUGGGAAGAACUAGCUUGUGGCAGAAAGUUAGAGGACACUUCUGGAUGCUGCAUGCCUUUCCUUCUAGCCUUUCCGCUUCAGUUUCUAGGGACAAGGUAAAGGAAAAAGAAUAGGAAAGGCAGGAAAAAGGAGCAUACAGCAUGAAAGAUUCUGAACAAAAGUUUCUUGACUAGAAAAUGUCAUUCCAAAUAUUAAGGAGACAGGGAGUCUGAAGUGGAAUGGGAGAACCAGGAUUGGAACUGGCUUCCAUGUCUCUGUGCCUGGCUGCCAGUAGGCAUGUUGGGAGCAUUUCUGUGUCUUUAGUUAUGGCCCCUAGGAGGGGAAGCUGUAAAGGGGGAGAUGGAAGAGGGGGUGGCACUGCUCUAGGGGACAGGUUUUGGGAAUAGAAGGGGCAAGGGGGUGCAGACUUCUGCAUAUGCAGGAGGGAUGCAUUCCUGCAACAGAUAUAGGGCAUAUCUGACUCUUGAGAAGUAAAACUCUGGUGAAGGGAAGAAAAAAGAUGUAAGGGUCAAUUAUCUUGGGGUGAAUUAAACCUUCAGUGCAGUGUUGGGAGUCUGUAUAAUCUUAUAAGCUUGAAAAUUCUAUUAGGAGUCCAAAAACUGACAUUCACAGACAUCCCCUAAUCAUCCUUGCAGCUCAGACUCUUUCAGAGUAGAGGAGCAUACCUACAUCACCAUAUGCCUCAUCAGGGCCCCACUUCUUCAAUACCAGUGACCUUCUCUGAUUUUUCGGAUGGGAGCACUUACAUUCCUUUUUGUUCUCUAUAGAUAAUAGGAUAAUGGAGGAUGAUGUUUUACCCAGGAACUAACAGGACAUCCGGGAAAACUGGCCCCAGACAACGUUCAAGACUAUACCCUUCUAUUUUACUACCCCCCCCCCACACACACACACUAACGGAGCAGAGAAUGCUCAUGCAGCAAUGGUCACCCAAGUUAUGCCAUAAACUUCUAGCUCUUAGUCUGCUCUCCCCUCAGACUCUGACUAAAAAAGUGCUAUUAGUAGAAAAGAGAAUAAAAUAAAACCAAUUCUUCA